GGUUAAUCCAGGGAACCUGGCAGGGAUGGCUACUGAGCCCAGCAGUGCCCUCAUCUUCCCUGCUGUUACCUGGAGCAGGGCGCAGGUUCUGUGCAUUGUCAGAAGAACACGGCUGAGAAAUGAUCUGUGAGGAGAUGUGAUGGAGCAUGUUCAAAGCUGCUCAUUCGUUCUGAUGCCAGCAUUUUGCCAGUCUGCCCAGCAGAGUUGAGAUCAGUGCCUGCCACCAUAUCACCGCAAAUCUGUGCUCGCUGACCUCCUUUUU